GGACUCCUGGAUCCGACCUGCCUCGGGGCUAUAAGGCAGGACGUCGGGGUUGCCUUCUGUCCCUCCCUUCACCGUGAGCCACCCACGAUCGUGCAAAGGAGAGUGAGUUCGAGCGUGGCGUGAACUGUGUCCAGGAGCCGUCCGCCGCGGGGGCUCCAAGACCUUGGGUCCUCUCGUGGGUGACCGUCUUUUGCGUGCGCGCAGCCACAUCCUGGCUGGGGAAUGUGAUGGUCGCGCGCCGAUAGCACCUCGCCGUGGGGUAAUCGCGUGCGCCGCUGCCUGUUCAGCCGGUUGGAGAAGAUGAUGGAGAACAGUUGGAUCUGCGAUGCUGGAUGGAGGUAAGGGGAUUUGUAUCGGCCGUAGAUCGGAAAUCCAGUGGCUGGCGCGGUUUAAUGUUGGGGUGUGGUUUCGGACCGCUCAGAUCUAAUCGUGUGGCCAGUAGUAUUCCAUACCCCUUCGGCCGUGACAAAUUCUAAAAUAGCCCCUGCUCUUUUUCGUAAUUAAGCCGCCGUCCACAUGGGGGUUAUACUGAGUCUUGGGAAAAUUGUGAUUUAGGCCCCUGAUCUUUUAAGAAAUAUUGUGCCCAGUCCAGAACACUUAGGAUAUUCAGAAAUUAAUAAAGAAAUAGGUUUUUAGUAUGAAAAUAAUUUCAUGAACUUGUAUAAUUCAUAGUUAAUUCGUUUUAGCUCCAAAUUGAGUCAUUCCAGUUGCAAUAAUUUUGUAUUAACAUUUUCUAACAACUAGUAACACUGUUUAGUCAUGAAACUUGAAUUAAAAUUUUUCAUUUGGAUUAAUCUAUUCUAAGCGCUAAAUAAUUUUAGAAAUUCAUAACUUAAUAGUUGUAGCUCCGAAUUUAGUGGUUCUUGUUUCUACGAUCUCAUUAGGAAGCGUAGAAUAUUUUUAUAUAGUUUGUUAUUAUGUUUGGUGUGAUGUUAAUUUUGCCUAUACCAUGCUUGUUUGUAUUGCUACGACUAGCGCGAGGUUACGAGUCACCUGAAGAUCAUCCUGGUACCUGGUAUCUCAAGUCCCAG
rnacentral:lncRNA from 1 species